AUGUAGGGGACUUCCUAGAUGAGGUUCUGUUCAUUGAGCUCCAGCGGGAAGAAGCAGACAAGCUGGUGAGGCAGUACAAUGAAGAAGGCCGCAAGGCUGGGCCACCCCCUGAAAAGCGCUUUGACAACCGAGGAGGUGGCUUCCGGGGCCGUGGGGGUGGCGGUGGUUUCCAGCGCUAUGACAGCCGAGGUCCCCCUGGAAGCAACCGAGGUGGCUUCCAGAAUCGAGGAGGAGGAAGUAGUGGAGGAGGCAACUACCGAGGAGGUUUCAACCGCAGUGGAGGUGGUGGCUACAACCAGAACCGCUGGGGUAACAACAACCGGGAUAACAACAACUCCAACAACCGAGGCAGCUACAACCGGGCCCCCCAGCAACAGCCACCACCACAGCAGCCACCACCACCACAACCACCACCACAGCAGCCGCCGCCACCACCCAGCUACAGCCCUGCUCGGAACCUCCCAGGGGCCAGCAGCUACAACAAGAACAGCAACAUCCCUGGCUCAGGCGCCAAUACCAGCACCCCCACUGUCAGCAGCUACAGCCCUCCACAGGUGAGGGCCUGUGCAUAUAUUUGUAUUCAGAUGUGCACAUGUAUGUUCUUAACCCUGAGCAGGUGAGGAGGUGGGUCCGAGGCAGUUACACAUAGUUUGGUUCUGCUUGCCCUUCUUUCCCCAAGUAGUGCUCCUGGCUGGACCCUAGAGUUUCCAGAUCCCUCUAAACCCAGAAAUAAAUGGCCCAUACCCAAACCUCCUCUUCCACCACCCCCAGGCAUAGGUUGUAAGCGUCAGUCAUUCAGCACACAUUCAUGUCUUGGCUGUGUUGCUGGCCUCAGCUGGAUGCCCAAGAAAGCACUCAGUUGGAGUCACCUCUCCUCCAUGCUGAAAAGAAUUUCGUUUCCUUGUCCUCAGGAUUGGAGACCAGGGGCCCAAAGUCGUUGAGGACCUCCUUGGCUUCUCUGCCAACAGUUUCACCCCUGAGCAGCUCUGAGCUCCAUUUCAGGUCUUGGAAAGUUAUUACUAGGGCCGUGGCACACACCCUGCUAACAAGAGCAGUCUCCAUUUAUUGUGCAUCCAUUUCCUAAGCACCUUCCAUGUGCCUGGCCUGGGAGCAGCUGCUACAUUAGUGGUUCCCAGAUUCUUGAUUUACCCAGAAAAUUUCCUAGCAUAAAGUUGGACAGACACAACCUCAAACCACCACCCCCAUAGUCUCCAAGUUUUGUGACAUUGACAGUCACCCCUCCGGGCCUCAUUUUUCCUGUAAAGAACUAAAUGCAUUAGUAGAACUCAUUUCUGAGGUUUGUUGUGAGAGUCUGGUGUCACUGUAGCUUCAUAAUUAAGGCUCUGUGACUAGGAAAAUCCUGAGGUCAAGCCUUUUUAACUGUAUGGCCUUGACUCAGUGAUUUCACCUUCUUAAGCC
rnacentral:lncRNA from 1 species